rnacentral:rRNA from 1 species
UACGAAGGGGGCUAGCGUUGCCCGGAAUUACUGGGCGUAAAGCGCACGCAGGCGGCGCCGUAAGUCUGAUGUGAAAUCUCCUGGCUUAACUGGGAGGGGUCAUUGGAAACUGUGGUGCUUGAGGCGAUGAGAGGGGUGUAGAAUUCCCGGUGUAGUGGUGGAAUGCGUAGAUAUCGGGAGGAAUACCAGUGGCGAAAGCGGCACCCUGGCAUUAGCCUGACGCUCAUGUGCGAAGGCGUGGGGAGCGAACGGG